AAAAAAAAAAAAGAUGGAGGAAGGGUCCAGGGAAAGCGCAACUGGGUCUGGGAGAAGGCAGCUCACAGUUGCUAGACAUAGGGUCUCUGGACUGGACUGGAACCCAGAGUAGAGAAUGAGCCUAGGUUCCAUCACCAGCAUCUGGGAGAAGUGGCACUGACCAAGGAGUAGAACAGAAGAGUGCCUGGGACUAUUGUCCAAUAGGACUUUGUUACUCUGAGAGGGGAGGACUAUAGUAAUCUGGCUAGAGGGCCAAGCCAAGAAGAGAGGGUGUGCUGAGUUGCAGAGAGAAAGAGGCAGCAGGGUGCACAAAUAAACAGCAGAAGCUGGAAGGUGCUAAUCCCCAGAACAGCCAGGAGAAGGUGCCCUAGUGUGGGCCGGAGCUGGUGCAUCAUUCUGGUCCCUUGUACCUGGUACAUCCCUGGCGAAAUGCAAUAGAAGCUGUUCAAACAUAUGACCUGCCAUGCUGGAAGAGACCAGAGGUCACGGGUCUGUCUAGACUGGGACUGUGCCUCUGACACUGCUCACUCGUGGAAGCCUUUGUAAGGUCUGACAGGAAUCCCUGCGAGUGGAGAGGACCAUGUAAGAUUUGUCACAGUUGCAAGCCCUGGCUUACCAAGGCAGAACUCCACCCGCGUUGCUGUAGUAAAAACACACCCUUUGUUUUUCUUCACUGGGAAAAAAGGCAUGUCCACUGCUGGGCAGUCUAGGAAUGGCACUGAUGGGUUGCAAAGAGACGUGUCAGACCUGUCCAGUCAAGGGCUAUAGCCACAACGCAAGAUCAUGUCUGAAAACGUUAGUGUGGGAACUUCCAGGGGAUGCAGUGGUCACUGGCUAGUACCUUGGCACCCCCAUCACUUUGCCAGUCUCAAAGCAGCACAGUGCUUGGCACAAAUUCCUCUAGGAGUAAACCUGGCAAUGAGUGCCUACAGUAGAGUGCCUAGUCCUUACAUACUCCAUAGGAAGUAGUGUCUCCUCGUGCCUCUUGGGGCCAGAUUUAGCCCCAGUAUACAUGGACAUCAAUGGGGCUGGACCCACUUCCACGGGGUGGAAUUUGUCUUUAGGUUUGUUGGUGUAAUCCACAGUGAGCAUUUCUUUCUCACAGCAUCACUCAGGAGAUUAGGCAUUUCUCACUCUGAAUCACCCCCAAAGGAACUUCCUUCAAAGAGCUCUAAAUUCCCUUCCACAAUGGGAAUUGCCUGAUCCCCGCUUCAUUCUAUGUGCCUUGAGAAAUACCCCAACCCAAAGGUCGUGUAAAUUGCAACACAGCUCUAAUGGACUCCUGUGCAGCCAUGCUGGUUUACGCCAGCCGAGGAGCUGACUCAAAAUGUCCUGCUGGCAUUAUCUGGUUCUGGCUCUUCACCCUCUGAAAGGUAAUGGCACCCAGCCAAGAGGACUAGCCCAAAUUAUGUGCCCAGUCUCUCACAAGGUUUUUGGGAUAAGGAGCACUUCAGCAACCCAUUGAAUAAGGCAAACUUAGGAGUAAGGGGCAGCUUCCAGCAUUGUACACCUCUAAUAUCCUAAGAUACAGUGAGAGCGACCUGCCAUUUCAGCGGAACAGCUGGAGUUAGUAGGCUCAGUUUUGUACGGAGCAGAGAGCCCUCAGCACUCCUGGAUGCUGAUGGCAACUGA